AGUUACUGCCACCCUCUCCCAGGUCUAGAGAGGGGUACCCACGGUGGAGGGAGGUGGGAGGCCGAGACGGCCCCGGGGGUCGGCGGAGACCCAGCGGGAGCAGGGGGAAAUCGGAAGAGCUGGGGGCAUGGAGCGGGCGAGUUUGGAGCGGAAUGAGCCGGGAGCCCUACGUUGUGGAAGGAAGACAACAGUAUAGGACCAUCAGCAGGACCGGACAGAGAGGGCCCUGGCUGUCCUGGAACUUGUAGACCAGGCUGGCCUUGAACUCAGAAAUCCGCCUGCCUCUGACUCCCGAGUGCUGAGAUUAAAGGUGUGCACCACCACACCCGACAAGGAAGCCUGUUUUAAGAAGUGAUUCCAUGGAGGAGUUCUGCGGCGGCUCAGGGCUUGACUAAACAGUGGACCUCAGACAAGAGAGGCUAAACCAGGCUGCAGGUGACAGGAAGAAUUGAAUAAACUGAAAGCAAAGGGCAGCCUUCUAAUUACGCUUCGUGGCUAUGUGGACAACCUGGAGAAGUCUGGAAACAAAGAAGCCAGAAGCCCGAAGCCAGCAGUAGAGCUCUGACUGGCUUGUAUGCCUAGAAAGGAAGGGCUCUUCUUUCGCCUCACGGGCACAAAUGGGACCCACGAGCGCCGAUUUCAGACUAUUCUGAUCCCUUCAAAAAGAAAGUUAGGAGUCCAGGCUACUGUGAGUGAAUUUGAUUCUAAUUGUUUCAGAGAAUAUGGAAUAAAAUAUCUCAUUUGCA
rnacentral:lncRNA from 1 species